rnacentral:rRNA from 1 species
AUUGAACGCUGGCGGCAGGCCUAACACAUGCAAGUCGAGCGGAUGAAGGGAGCUUGCUCCUGGAUUCAGCGGCGGACGGGUGAGUAAUGCCUAGGAAUCUGCCUGGUAGUGGGGGAUAACGUCCGGAAACGGGCGCUAAUACCGCAUACGUCCUGAGGGAGAAAGUGGGGGAUCUUCGGACCUCACGCUAUCAGAUGAGCCUAGGUCGGAUUAGCUAGUUGGUGGGGUAAAGGCCUACCAAGGCGACGAUCCGUAACUGGUCUGAGAGGAUGAUCAGUCACACUGGAACUGAGACACGGUCCAGACUCCUACGGGAGGCAGCAGUGGGGAAUAUUGGACAAUGGGCGAAAGCCUGAUCCAGCCAUGCCGCGUGUGUGAAGAAGGUCUUCGGAUUGUAAAGCACUCUAAGUUGGGAGGAAGGGCAGUAAGUUAAUACCUUGCUGUUUUGACGGUACCAACAGAAUAAGCACCGGCUAACUUCGUG